CAUGAUGUUUUUACUAUUCAUUAUUGGAAAAAAAUUGUAUAUUUCGUAGAGAAAGUGUAUGUGGUUUAUAAUAUGAACAGCAACAACAAAAAACAGAACGCAAAACUCAUAUCACAGCCAUUAAAUGAAACCUCUGACAAAAAAAUAUUGUAUUUUAUACAGGGAAAAAAAUAACACAGAGCUCUACACUAAAAAGAUUUCAUUUGCUGUAAAUUUUAGAUUUUUCACUUAAAUUCAAAAAUGCUACGCUACGAGCAAGUUUGUUCAGUUAUUUACACGGAUUAAUUUCUUUUCAAUUAAAAAAAAACUCCCGACUAAACUAAAAAAAAUUACACUUUGUUACAUAGUAAUAGUGUGAGAGGAAGAGGAAAAAGUGGCAAGUGAUACUAAAGAAAAGGUUUUGAAUUGUACGAGUUUGGUGAUGGCUGAAUUCCCGGAGUAUUUAAAAUCGAAAGGAUUAAUGUGAUUGUUUAAGAUUAAUUAUAUUUGUGCAAAAGAGAAACAAUAAAUUAAAAACUUACUUUAAAAGAAAAA